UGCCCAACCGAAGGGGAGUAGCUCCCAACCGUCCUCCACGAGGGCGGACUUCGACAGGUCGUCAAUACGAAGACAACACUUCCGGCCUGUCGGGCAGCCCACGCUGCCGAGCAAGACCUUCGAUUGGAGC
rnacentral:misc_RNA from 1 species